AUGACACGCCCCUGGGGGCCAUCUGGCCCAAGUCCACCUGCGCGGCUGAGUGGAGGAUGCUAGGUUGCUGUGCUGUUUCUCCUACUGUCUUGCUGCCGCACCACCCCUCAGAAAAACCGGGUCGUCAGUUUCCUGCGGUUUGCACUCACCAAAUAUACUUAGCAAUUUGCAAUUCACCCGCAGGAUUAUUCCAGCCUCUGUGAUCACACACAGAAGGAUGAGCCUUCCUCGUGAGGGUUGGAGAUGGAGGGAGAAGGGAUGGAGAGUAAGGAUGGGACGGAGGUUGUGGAGCAGCAGACCAACACGCCAGAAAGGAAAAUAAUGAUCAUCUCAAUUUUUAUAUGUGGAGGCAUUGCUUUUCUUCUUUGGGGGAUUUUAAGAUUUCCCAGAAAAUUUGGAAUUCCAAGGCACCUUAGAAACAAGACAUGCCUAGAAAAUUUGACUAUGUGUCCACAAGGCUGGAACUGAAUCAAUAAUAAUUGCUUCUUUCAAUCUGAACAUGAAACAACGUGGAUCAAUGGCUGAGAAAACUGCAGAAGUUAUGGAUCUCUGGCCAGGCUCAACUCUCAGAAUGAAAUGGGAAUCUUUGAUGCAUUAUCUGGGGCCGUCUUUAUAUUGGUUUGAACUGAGCAAGCACAAUGCAAACAAAACGUGGAUGUGGGCAGAUGGAGCUACAUUCAGCAAUUGUCAAGUUAUGAAACUAGCGAAUUAUUUACAUUAAGUGGAUUUGUUGUUGCUGUCGUUGCUGAAACUAGUGAAAGAAUCGAGUUUUGUGCUAUGAGUCAUGGGAGCAAAACGUGAGUAUUUAGAAGUGGAGAGGACCACGAAGAAGGAAGCCCUGGUGACUUGAAGAAAUCAUGGAGAGUUCUCCGGAUUCCCACAAACCUAUGGGGUUUAGAUUCCAGCUAAUACUUACACGGGUCUCAGAAGGACAGAGGGCAAGGGUUAACAUCUGGCUGAUAUUAAAGUCUCUGCACCUCUUAAUAUUUUACUUUGGCCUAGUUUUCUUUUCUUCGCUUUUACAUUUCCUGAUAUAAUGAGUAAUUCUCUUUUGAGUAUUAACUUGUACCAUGAACUAUGCUAAAUAUUUUUACCCCUAAAUGAUGAAGAAUUUUUAUCAUUUUUUGCUGAAAUAAAUGAGCAAAUGAAAGAUUGUUUACCUGGGAUUAUAGUAAAUGGUAGAACCACAUUUUAAAUUCAGCUGGGUCUCACACACAUUACAGACAUUCAAACAAUGU
rnacentral:lncRNA from 10 species